rnacentral:rRNA from 1 species
CUGAAGAGAUUUGGGAGUCGCUCGAAAGAGAACCGGUGCGCACAGGUGCUGCAUGGCUGUCGUCAGCUCGUGUCGUGAGAUGUUGGGUUAAGUCCCGCAACGAGCGCAACCCUUGUCAUUAGUUGCUACGAAAGGGCACUCUAAUGAGACUGCCGGUGACAAACCGGAGGAAGGUGGGGAUGACGUCAAGUCCUCAUGGCCCUUAUGGGUAGGGCUUCACACGUCAUACAAUGGUACAUACAGAGGGCCGCCAACCCGCGAGGGGGAGCUAAUCCCAGAAAGUGUAUCGUAGUCCGGAUUGGAGUCUGCAACUCGACUCCAUGAAGUUGGAAUCGCUAGUAAUCGCGGAUCAGCAUGUCGCGGUGAAUACGUUCCCGGGUCUUGUACACACCG